rnacentral:rRNA from 1 species
GACGAACGCUGGCGGCGUGCUUAACACAUGCAAGUCGAACGGAAAGGCCCUGCUUUUGUGGGGUGCUCGAGUGGCGAACGGGUGAGUAACACGUGAGUAACCUGCCCUUGACUUUGGGAUAACUUCAGGAAACUGGGGCUAAUACCGGAUAGGAGCUCCUGCUGCAUGGUGGGGGUUGGAAAGUUUCGGCGGUUGGGGAUGGACUCGCGGCUUAUCAGCUUGUUGGUGGGGUAGUGGCUUACCAAGGCUGUGACGGGUAGCCGGCAUGAGAGGGUGACCGGCCACAUUGGGACUGAGAGACGGCCCAGACUCCUACGGGAGGCAGCAGUGGGGAAUAUUGCACAAUGGGCGGAAGCCUGAUGCAGCAACGCCGCGGGCGGGAUGACGGCCUUCGGGUUGUAAACCGCUUUCGCCUGUGACGAAGCGUGAGUGACGGUAAUGGGUAAAGAAGCACCGGCUAACUACGUG